CACAGCUUUCCUGGAGGAAAUGGAAUGAGGACAUGGAAGGAAGAGGGAGGCAGAGGCCUACAUUCUCCUCCAGCUCUGCCCUUUUUCCAGCCCAGCCUCUUGGAUCCUCAGUCUUUCCAUCAGAAACACCUGAGCCCCUGAGGAAAGGGAGCAUGCUGCAAGGACCUCUACGGUGAUGUUCAGGGAGAGGGAUGCACCUGCAGCCUCUCCAUAGCAUGAAGGGCAAAACAUCAAUACACAGGCAGAGUCCUCAGGGUUUCCCGUGUCAAAUGGAGCUCUCCAAGUUCUGAUGUGAGUGGGGAGAAGAGACACCAUUGAUGACAAAACCCCAGAGGUGAGAAGGAAGGAAGGAUGGACUUUUACUGUCACUGUUUCCCGAAAUACAUUUCACAGGGUAAUAGUACAUUUAAAAAAAGAGUGUACGGUAUAAGAUUUGGGAACUCAUUGGUUGAAUUAAAUUAAGCUUUUUAAAUCUCAAGGGGAAGCUCACAUAUGCAGUCUUUACCAACAAAUGGGACCACUGAACUGCUUUUCCACUGAGCAUCUUGCAGGAUCAGUGCUUGGUGGAAGCCAUUUUGGAAACUGCUGAUAUUCACUGGAGAACUAUAAAAUAUAAGACCUAG